rnacentral:rRNA from 1 species
GGUGAACCAGCGGAGGGAUC